CCUACGGGAGGCAGCAGUGAGGAAUAUUGGUCAAUGGGCGGAAGCCUGAACCAGCCAAGUCGCGUGAGGGAAUAAGGUCCUACGGGUCGUAAACCUCUUUUGCCGGGGAGCAAGGGUGGGGUCGUGACCGCGCGCGGAGAGUACCCGGAGAAAAAGCAUCGGCUAACUCCGUGCCAGCAGCCGCGGUAAUACGGAGGAUGCGAGCGUUAUCCGGAUUUAUUGGGUUUAAAGGGUGCGUAGGCGGGCUGUUAAGUCAGCGGUAAAAAUGCGGGGCUCAACGCCGUCGGGCCGUUGAAACUGGGGGCCUUGAGUGGGCGAGAAGAAUGCGGAAUGCGUGGUGUAGCGGUGAAAUGCAUAGAUAUCACGCAGAACCCCGAUUGCGAAGGCAGCAUUCCGGCGCCCUACUGACGCUGAGGCACGAAAGUGCGGGGAUCGAACAGGAUUAGAUACCCUUGUAGUC
rnacentral:rRNA from 1 species